rnacentral:snRNA from 2 species
UUGCUUCAGUAGCACAUAUACUAAAGUUGGAACGAUAGAUUGGCAUGGCCUCUGUGCAAGAAUGACAUGCAAAUUUGUGAAUCAUUCCAUAUGUUU